ensembl:lncRNA
AAAGAACACGAGUAGAGGAUAAAAGAACACGAGUAGAGGAUAAAAGAACACGAAUAGACGAUAAAAGAACACGAGUAGAGGAUAAAAGAACACGAGUAGAGGAUAAAAGAACACGAGUAGACGAUAAAAGAACACGAGUAGAGACGAUAAAAGAACACGAGUAGAGACGAUAAAAGAACACGAGUAGAGGAUAAAAGAACACGAGUAGAGGAUAAAAGAACACGAGUAGAGGAUAAAAGAACACGAGUAGAGGAUAAAAGAACACGAGUAGAGGAUAAAAGAACACGAGUAGAGACGAUAAAAGAACACGAGUAGAGGAUAAAAGAACACGAGUAGAGACGAUAAAAGAACACGAGUAGAGGAUAAAAGAACACGAGUAGAGGAUAAAAGAACACGAGUAGAGGAUAAAAGAACACGAGUAGAGGAUAAAAGAACACGAGUAGAGGAUAAAAGAACACGAGUAGAGACGAUAAAAGAACACGAGUAGAGGAUAAAAGAACACGAGUAGAGGAUAAAAGAACACGAGUAGAGGAUAAAAGAACACGAGUAGAGGAUAAAAGAAGACGAGUAGAG